rnacentral:lncRNA from 1 species
UCUCUUUCACUACUGUGUAUAACUCUCUCACUACCAUCUGAAAUUCUCCAAAUUGAUGGGGUGGGUCUCUGGAAUUCUCCAACUCGGGGCAUGUGCCUGUGGAAUUCUCCAGAUCGACAAUGUGGGUCUUCUAAAUUCUCCAAAUUAGGGGUGAAACAUAGAUCCGAUUAAAGCUCCUAGAAAAUCUGGUAAACAAUUCAUUAUUGUUCUUAAGUUUUAUCGGGAUUAUCCAUGGAGAACAAAAGAAAAUGUUUUUGUAAAAAUAAGCUAUUUGAUACUAGUGGAUCGCCU